UUACGGUCAUAUCACGUUGAAAAUACCUGUUCUUGUAUGAUCGCCGAAGUUAAGCAACGUCGAAUCUGGUCAGUACCUAGAUGAGCGACCGCUUGGGAAUGCCAUGUGCUGUAAG